UACGAAGGGGGCUAGCGUUGCUCGGAAUUACUGGGCGUAAAGCGCACGUUGGCGGAUUGUUAAGUCGGGGGUGAAAUCCUGGAGCUCAACUCCAGAACUGCCUUCGAUACUGGCGAUCUCGAGUUCGGGAGAGGUGAGUGGAACUGCGAGUGUAGAGGUGAAAUUCGUAGAUAUUCGCAAGAACACCAGUGGCGAAGGCGGCUCACUGGCCCGAUACUGACGCUGAGGUGCGAAAGCGUGGGGAGCAAACAGG
rnacentral:rRNA from 1 species